UAGACGCUACGGACUUAAAAUCCGUCGACUUUAGAAAUCGUGAGGGUUCAAGUCCCUCUAUCCCCA
rnacentral:tRNA from 27 species